rnacentral:rRNA from 1 species
AUUGAACGCUAGCGGCAUGCUUAACACAUGCAAGUCGAACGGUAACAGGCCUAGCUUGCUAGGUGCUGACGAGUGGCGAACGGGUGAGUAACGCGUAGGAAUCUACCUCGUAGUGGGGGACAACCCGAGGAAACUCGGCUAAUACCACAUAAUCUCUACGGAGCGAAAGGGGGACCGUCUAUUUAUAAGCUCUCGCUAUGAGAAGAGCCUGCGUCAGAUUAGCNGUUGGUGGGGUAAAGGCCUACCAAGGCGACGACGGGUAGCCGCCGUGAGAGGGCGACCGGCCACACUGGGACUGAGACACGGCCCAGACUCCUACGGGAGGCAGCAGUGGGGAAUCUUGCGCAAUGGGCGAAAGCCUGACGCAGCGACGCCGCGUGA